rnacentral:rRNA from 1 species
GGGGAAUAUUGGACAAUGGGGGAAACCCUGAUCCAGCAAUGCCGCGUGAAUGAUGAAGGCCUUAGGGUUGUAAAGUUCUUUUACCUGUGAAGAUGAUGACGGUAACAGGAGAAAAAGCACCGGCUAACUUCGUGCCAGCAGCCGCGGUAAGACGAAGGGUGCUAGCGUUGUUCGGAAUGACUGGGCGUAAAGGGCGCGUAGGCGGUCUUUUAAGUUAGGCGUGAAAGCCCCGGGCUUAACCCGGGACGUGCGCUUAAGACUGAAAGGCUUGAGUAUGGAAGAGGUAAGUGGAAUUCCUAGUGUAGAGGUGAAAUUCGUAGAUAUUAGGAAGAACACCAGUGGCGAAGGCGGCUUACUGGUCCAUUACUGACGCUGAGGCGCGAAAGUGUGGGGAGCAAAC